ACACGUGGGCAACCUGCCUCAUAGAGGGGAAUAGCCUUUCGAAAGGAAGAUUAAUACCGCAUAAGAUUGUAGCUUCGCAUGAAGUAGCAAUUAAAGGAGCAAUCCGCUAUGAGAUGGGCCCGCGGCGCAUUAGCUAGUUGGUGAGGUAACGGCUCACCAAGGCGACGAUGCGUAGCCGACCUGAGAGGGUGAUCGGCCACAUUGGGACUGAGACACGGCCCAGACUCCUACGGGAGGCAGCAUG
rnacentral:rRNA from 1 species